GACGAACGCUGGCGGCGUGCUUAACACAUGCAAGUCGAACGGAAAGGCCCUGCUUUUGUGGGGUGCUCGAGUGGCGCACGGGUGAGUAACACGUGAGUAACCUGCCCUUGACUUUGGGAUAACUUCAGGAAACUGGGGCUAAUACCGGCUAGGAGCUCCUGCUGCAUGGUGGGGGUUGGAAAGUUUCGGCGGUUGGGGAUGGACUCGCGGCUUAUCAGCUUGUUGGUGGGGUAGUGGCUUACCAAGGCUUUGACGGGUAGCCGGCCUGAGAGGGUGACCGGCCACAUUGGGACUGAGGUACGGCCCAGACGCCUACGGGAGGCAGCAGUGGGGAAUAUUGCACAAUGGGCGGAGGCCUGAUGCAGCAACGCCGCGUGCGGGAUGACGUCCUUCGGGUUGUAAACCGCUUUCGCCUGUGACGAAGCGUGAGUGACGGUAAUGGGUAAAGAAGCACCGGCUAACUACGUG
rnacentral:rRNA from 1 species